rnacentral:rRNA from 1 species
UACGUAGGCAGCGAGCGUUGUUCGGAGUUACUGGGCGUAAAGGGUGUGUAGGCGGUUUUCUAAGUUUGGUGUGAAAUCUCCCGGCUCAACCGGGAGGGUGCGCCGAAAACUGGGAGACUAGAGUGCGGGAUGGGAGAGUAGAAUUCCUGGUGUAGCGGUGAAAUGCGUAGAUAUGUGGAGGAACACCAGUGGCGAAGGCGACUCUCUGGGCUGUAACUGACGCUGAGGCGCGAAAGCGUGGGGAGCGAACAGG